AAAACUAUCCAGAGGGCAGGGCGUGGUGGCUCAUGCCUAUAAUCAAGUCAGGCUCCACCAGGGGAAUCAAGGCAAACAGGUUGCUGUUUUUAUUGUGUUUGCAUGUGUCUCAGGCCUGUAAUAGCUCCCGAAGGGAAACUAGAGACUAAAGCUGGACAACCUCCCGCCGCAAAAGCUGGUGGAAUGCGGAUUGUGCAGAAAUACCCACACACUGGCAACACCAAAGCAGAGAAAGUCAAGGAUGACCAAGAAAGGAAAAGCCCCAGUCCACCUAAGCUGACUGUGUUCAUCUCUGGAGUUAUUGCCUGGGGUGACAAAGACUUCCCCCUGGCGGCCGCGCAGGUGGCUCACCAAAAGCCCCAUGCCCCCAUGGACAAGCAUCCUUCCCCGGGUACUCAGCACAUCCAGCCACCAAACAAGUGAGCCAGGCUAGAACUGCCUGCCCCAGCAGGGCCCAGCAGCUGCAUCAAAUUUGUCCCCGACAAAGAGACUUGCCACUUUCCUCAA